ACGGUACAACGAGUCGCAAGACCGCGAGGUUUAGCAAAUCUCUUAAAGCCGUUCUCAGUUCGGAUUGUAGGCUGCAACUCGCCUACAUGAAGUCGGAAUCGCUAGUAAUCGCGGAUCAGCAUGCCGCGGUGAAUACGUUCCCGGGCCUUGUACACACCGCCCGUCACACCAUGGGAGUUUGUAACGCCCAAAGUCGGUGGCCUAACCUUUAUGGAGGGAGCCGCCUAAGGCGGGACAGAUGACUGGGGUGAAGUCGUAACAAGGUACC
rnacentral:rRNA from 1 species